ensembl:lncRNA
UGGGGAAAGGGAGGCUGAGGGGAGACCUCUUUGCUCUCUUCCAAUAUCUGAAAGGUGCUGACAGAAAGAGCGGGGUUGGUCUCUUCUCACUGGUGACAAAUGACAGGAUGAGGGAAAUGGCCUUAAGUUGCGCCAGGGGACAUUUAGGUUGGAUAUCAGGAAACACUUCUUUGCAGAAAGGGUGGUUAAGCACUGGAAUAGGCUCCCCAGGGAGGUGGUUGAGUCACCAUCCCUGGAUGUGUUUAAAAACUGUCCGGAUGUGGUGCUCGGGGACGUGAUUUAGUGGAGGGUUGUUAGUUAGGGUAGUAUGGUUGGGUUGUGGUUGGACUCAAUGAUCUUUAAGGUCUUUUCCAACACGAGCAAUUCCAUCAUUCUAUGACUCCACUAUCGUACUUAGUAAAUUAGCUUUCCUCCUCGGAUCAUUGCCACUGUUUUGUUUAUAGGCCCAUCUCCCUACCUUUUCCCCUUUCCCAGAGGGGUCCCCUGCCCCAUUAGUCACAGUACGGGGCAGAACCGGCCUGUAAACCAUCAACACCCCCUCGAGCCUCCCCUUUUUGGGCCGGUGGGCCUGCUGUCCCCCCUUGUAACAAAGACAGGCAUAUCUAGAGAGAACUCCAUAACAGCUUUACUACAAUCAGGAAAUAGGUGAUGAAACUAAUUGUAGUUUACAUCAAAAAGAUAAGAGAAAUAUCAAAACAAAACCAAAUACAGAGCGAGCAAAGCAGGAAACAAAUCCAAUCGUUAUAUAACAGCCUCAAAUUAAAGCUAAUGAAUAGCCACAAUACUGUCUCAAAAGGGUUGAAAACACCUGUUCCAACAGCUGAGGCCAAUUGCUCAUUGACUAUAUAAAGUGUGGGUACUCCCUACUAUUAUCUUGCUGCUUUGCAAUAGGUACAGUCCGUUGGGGAGUAACUGCUGUCCUGGGUCGUUGGAGAGCAUAACUAGCCAGGUUUUUCUCUUUACCUGCUCCUGGAAACCCUUUCUAACCGCAUAUUUUGUUCUUAAUUCUUUUCUGCUGACUUCAGUUAACUGCGACUUUCCUAUCGGUUGUUUUUUGUUUUUGUUUGUUCAUGUCUUUACUGUUCUAGUGGGGCUUGAUUUUCUUCUUUGUAGAGUACUGAAGUUACUUAGCAAAUGAGCGUACGCUGGUUUUCUUGGUUGUGGGGAUUACUUGUGAUCGCACACUAACAGGUUUCCACCUUAGUCCAUUGCUUGUGAUCAGGCAAGUUCACUUGUGAUGUGGCAAUUGGUAACCAUCUUGCGUAGUGACCUGGGUGUAGUGAAAUCUACUGUCUUUGGUGGUAGGUGUACAAAUUACCACCAGUGGUCCGCUGUGCCUAUGGGGUGACACUUUAGUCUGCCCUGGGAACUAGUUUGUAAAGCCUCCUGUGAAACUGGCUCUUAGGGCUUUGGGGUUGAAAUGCUGAGGCCUGAUAUAGGUCAACGUUGAUUCAGGGACUAUGGUUGUAGAUUACAAUCUUGCAGUAUAUCCUAUGUUUCUAGUAUUAAUGGUACCUAUGAGAUGUAGUUAACUGAUAUUUUGCUAUAUGAGGAGGAAUACAUUUAUUUAAGUGAUUACCUGCCGAGCUAUGUUAUAAUGUUGAUUGUGCUACAGUAAUGGUAGUACAAUAUCUUUCUUUAUCAUGAUAGAAUUUUUACUAUAAUGUGUUUUACCAGGCUAAGCGUGCUGCAAGGGACCAAAGAGGCCAGUAGUGGACCAAAACAGAUAGCACUUCUCCCUUGGUUCCUCCUUGAACCCUGGCCAGGUUUUGGGAGAAAACCAACAGGAGACAGAGGAAACCAGAUGUUCCGCCUGACUGUUUCAUAGAUUGGUUUGUUUAGUGACACAAAAGCUGGACCUGCUUGCAGCGACUAUGGAGACCUCGACUACGGGGUGGACGCACUGCCGUAGGCCUUCCCAGUUGCCGGGACGGGUUCUCCAGAUCCUCGCUGCAACCAGGGCUCCCCAGCAGCUGCGGAUCUGGAUGGUGGUCAAAGUAGUAGAGUAGUGAUUGAUAAGUAGACUCAAAGUUAAAGAAUUGUUCAGGUUGGACAAGACCUUCAAGAUCAAGUCCAACCACAACUGAACCAUGCAACCCUAACUCUAGCAACCCACUGCUCGAUGAUGUCCUUGAGCACCAUGUCUAGAUUGUUUUUAAACACAUCCCUGUACCUUUCUUAAUCAGUAUUGCUAACUUACAUAGAGUGAUUAAAUGCUUUACUUUGCUUAUUUUCUCUAUCAUUAAGCUUACCUUUUGGCUAUAGGCACUGCUCUAUAUUUGCAUCGUUUUGAAAUGCAGGGUAAAAUACGCUUAUUUCUUCAGUUGGUGUCUGUAUACUUCCUGUUAACCCUGUCAGUUGGCAAAGCUUCUGGUGUCAUAUAGCAGAUUUGAACAAAAUGUCACUGUUUAAAUUUAAGCAGAAUGUCUUCGCUCCAUCUGAGCUUCCUAGAUGUGAGCGGGUUCCAUUUAGUUCACUGGUUCUUGAGCGGACAAAGGUUGGAGAGUUGUUUAAACAGUGUGCAAGUGAGUUGAAAGAAGCCAAACUGCUGAACAUAAUUCAACUGUGUCCAAAAAAAAAAAAAAACACAGAUGAUUGAUAAUGGAGAAGUAACCGGGGGCUUGGGAAGGCAAAGAUGGAUCUUGUUAGCAGCCUGUUGGAACCAGAACCAACGAAAAGAGCAAUUGUUGCCAAGUUUUUCUCACAUAGAGGUAACAAGUGUGUGAUUUGCAGAAUUAGAUUGUGACGUUGCAGUGCCGAAAUAAGUUGUUUGUUGAUAAGCUGGGUCUUUUUCAGAAUGGAGGUGAGAGGGGUGCUGUUGGCGUUGUGCAAUAUGAGAAGAGAACAAAUGAAUCUUAAGGAAGUGCGUUUAGCAAUUGCAGAAGCAGGUAAUGGAAGAGAGCUUUCUGCUCUUCGUCGAAGCCAGACGUGAGUGCCUGCCGCUAAGGACUCAGACUUGUUCUUUCUUCUCCCAUUUUUGAUUUGUUAGGUUUUCUGUUGCUAAUUAUUCUGUAUUAUCUUUAAUAAAUUAUCUCUUCUACUUACA